UUCCCCAAGCAGGCCGCGAAUGGAGAGUUACGUGGAAAGCAUUGGCACCAUGAAUAGCCACAGCACAAAUUCCUCGUGUCAGGUCUUCUGUAACUUAUGUCCCCUUCAUGCCAAAUGGCACUGGGAGCUGCUUUUCUUCUGAGGGGAGACUUUGAACAUAAGACAACCACUUGGAUAUGACUCCUUCAGUGCUGGUGAGACCUCAGAGGCCUCAGAGCCCUGCCUGGGUCAGCAUGAAGAAGAAAAACCACACAAGCAGCUCUUUGGAGGCAGAGUGCUAUGGGCCAAACCACUAACUUAAGCAAUUAACCUUAGGAAGAUAAACAGGAUACAGAAAGAAGAGAAAGCAGACAACUGUAAAGGACAAUUGUGUCUUACUGAUCUACUAUAAUUCUUUGCACAUCUCAACAAAUAAAAGCAGAUGUAUCAU